CACUGGUGGGAGUUUAUCCGUCGGCAAAACUUGGGAACAUUGCGGAGGCUCGGCCGUCGGAGAGGUUCGAAAAGAUGUCGCCGAAGGUCAGACAUCGGUAGAAUCCCAGGAUGGUCACUCCUGACACGAACUUCGGCUGGGGGGUAUUUUAUACCCAACAAACUUCAUCAAGUUCAAUCUUAGAAGCAACGAUUUAUUCACCAAGGAACUUCUUUUCUAAAAAGGUUGCCUUAAGGCUGACGAACACCUUUUGUUCAUCAGCAUGGUAGAAAAAAUAUCCUUUGAUCUCUUUGGGGU
rnacentral:lncRNA from 1 species